CCAGAACAAAGUGUUCAUGUUGAGCCCACCCUUCAGGGCUAAAAGGGCUUCUCUGUCAGUGACUUGUUCGUAGUUUGUAAUUUUGUCUGUAAACCUGGCGAGAUAGCUUUUCAGCGUCUCCCCAGGGGCCUGCCUCGUGUCUUGCAGGCGUUGAAUUGGUGCCUCUCCUUUCCUGCCUGAGAGGUACUGGUUCAAAAAUGUUUUCUUCAAAUCUGGCCAACUUCUGAUGCUUAGGGGAGAAAGCUUGCUGUACCAUAUCUCGGCGACCCUGCCUAGCAUUAAAUGGAAGGCUCUGUAUUUUAAAGCAGGCGAGGCUCCCCUCAGGCUCAUCUGCAUCAUGUACUUGGUGAGGUGCUUCUUCGGAUCCCCCUUUCCUUCAUACUUGGGGAUCUUAGGGGGUAUGAAAUUCGCUGGCAUUGGGAAGCUUUGGAUCUCCUUUGAGAAAGGGAGGUUAUCAUCAUCAUCGUCAAUCUCAUAAGAUCGACAGGGCCCAUCCGACCCUUCUCAUCUUGGAUGUCCUGGGGAGGCGGAGGUGCUUCUCCUCGACUUCCCCAAUCGACUAGAUUCCUCCUCUCUAUCCUAUUUCUAGGAGGAGGAGAGGGAGCAUGUUCUUGUUCGUGAUCUGGACGAACUGAUCCUCUUGCUGGGUGGACCCUAUUGCUAGGACCUUCCCCUAUCCGGUCGAAGACGCUUAACGAUCUUCGGUCCUCAUGUUCCUGAGAGAAAUUGUCCCCCAAGCGUGGUUCUGAUGGCUGACUCCCUUGCACAUAAGAUGUAGCUUCAGCGUUCAUCUCCCUUUCGAGGGGACGUUCUGUGUGCCGGCUCAUGUGGCCUCGGGAGUGAGACACAGGGGCUUCCCGCACCGGAUAAGAUCCUUGGGGCAUUUGAUAGCCCUGAUGACCCUGGGCUUGCAAGAGGAGUUCCUGCAUUGCCAUAUUCUGAGCUGCUAUGUCUCUCAUACUUGCAGCUAUCUGAGCCAUUCCUUCAGUGAGUAUGGCUGUUCUUCCACUUUGGCGACGUCGGUGAUGUGGUCUCUGAUGAGUAACAUUGUUAUGGAGUACCUCUUCUUCAGAGACCUCUCUCACGGGGUUGUAGUUUUCAUGGCUGUAGCUCAUCCUACCUCUUUUUUCAAAUUAAUUAGAUUUCAUGUUCAUGAAUGAAUUUGAUUUUUGACAUGAGUUUUAGACAUAAAUAAAUUAAUCUCCCAACUAUUUAUAUUAUUUUCACAAAUUGGUUGUUGUUAAAAUUGUUGGGAGGGGGGUGGAAUAAAUGAACAAUACUUUGGAGAUUUAUUUCAGAUCUCACAAUAAUGACUAAUUUUGAAAGUAAAUAAGCAUUUUAAUUAAUAUUCUUCUUCACCAUUAUUAUUACAAAAGAAACUGGACACACAUGUGUAACGUGAAUAGAAUGUUAUUUCCAAUAUUAUUUUAGUUGUUUAUUGAUGAGCCAAUAUCUUAUUUGCGGGCUGUAAAAUAAAUUAAAAUAUAUUUUUUUACCAGAUUUCUCAUAUUAAAUUAAAUAAAGGGAAGUUUAUGGUGACGACUCAUAUUUAUUCUUCAUAAAAUUUUGGAGCUAUUUAAUUAUUCCAGGAGCCACACAUAUAAAGUGAUAAAUGCAUGCAUGAACCGAAGCAAUUAGCUGCAUCAAUUAUUCAUUUUCAUAACCAAGGUACUCACACGUAAAUGCAUGGAUGAACCAAAGACAUUAACUACAUCAAUUAUUCAUUUUUAUAACCAAAGUACUCACACACAAACAUUAAUAGAUUCACGUACAUACCUUUCUUCACCAAGUGGUUAUUUGUGAUUGAAGACGACGUCAAGAGUUUGCCUUGCUUUCAGGUAUUUCACAUCAGUUCUUUCCUGCUGCUUUCAUUGGUUUCUCAUUGAAGCAUUUGUAUGUUUAUUUCAUCCGAAUGAAAUUUUGAUAGCACUCAAAGCUCCACAUGGCACCACUUUAGAAGUUCCAAAUCCUAGUGAGGUUACUUUUCUUUACUUUUUUCUAAAAAAGUGACCAAUAACUUAGAUUUAAGUAUUGCACAAGAAUCUGUACUGCAUAUAUACUUAUGAAUUUUUUUGAUUUGUUCAGGCAAUUGAUUAUCCACAGAGGAGAUACAAAAUAGUUCUCCGGAGCACUAUGGAACCUAUAUAUAUAUACCUUGUCAGGUACUACUUUCCUGUAAGAAAGUGCAUUCAUUAUUACCUUCAACUUUUUUAUCAAGGUUUACCAUCGAUCGUAAGGGAGAAAAUUGAUCAACUGACAUUUGUUAUGUUUUUUAUUUGUUUCCGAUUAUCUGCCCUCCAAUGUAAUUUAGUCAAUUUGAAGAAAAAUUUGAAAUGAAUUAGGUCUUCAGCAUCAACAUUUAAUGAGAAUGCUUCUACAACACCAGUAACCGAAGGGAUAAGAGUGAACGAAUAUGAGAUUCAGAGCUUAGCAGCUCAAAAACAAGUACAUCGCAG
rnacentral:lncRNA from 1 species